rnacentral:rRNA from 1 species
UUAAGCGACUAAGCGUACACGGUGGAUGCCCUGGCAGUCAGAGGCGAUGAAGGACGUGCUAAUCUGCGAAAAGCGUCGGUAAGGUGAUAUGAACCGUUAUAACCGGCGAUGUCCGAAUGGGGAAACCCAGUGUGAUUCGUCACACUAUCGUUAACUGAAUACAUAGGUUAACGAGGCGAACCGGGGGAACUGAAACAUCUAAGUACCCCGAGGAAAAGAAAUCAACCGAGAUUCCCCCAGUAGCGGCGAGCGAACGGGGAGCAGCCCAGAGUCUGAAUCAGCUUGUGUGUUAGUGGAACGGUCUGGAAAGUCCGACGGUACAGGGUGAUAGUCCCGUACACCAAAAUGCACAGGUUGUGAACUCGAAGAGUAGGGCGGGACACGUGGUAUCCUGUCUGAAUAUGGGGGGACCAUCCUCCAAGGCUAAAUACUCCUGACUGACCGAUAGUGAACCAGUACCGUGAGGGAAAGGCGAAAAGAACCCCGGCGAGGGGAGUGAAAAAGAACCUGAAACCGUGUACGUACAAGCAGUGGGAGCACCUUCGGGUGUGACUGCGUACCUUUUGUAUAAUGGGUCAGCGACUUAUAUUCUGUAGCAAGGUUAACCGUAUAGGGGAGCCGCAGGGAAACCGAGUCUUAACUGGGCGUUAAGUUGCAGGGUAUAGACCCGAAACCCGGUGAUCUAGCCAUGGGCAGGUUGAAGGUUGGGUAACACUAACUGGAGGACCGAACCGACUAAUGUUGAAAAAUUAGCGGAUGACUUGUGGCUGGGGGUGAAAGGCCAAUCAAACCGGGAGAUAGCUGGUUCUCCCCGAAAGCUAUUUAGGUAGCGCCUCGUGAACUCAUCUUCGGGGGUAGAGCACUGUUUCGGCUAGGGGGUCAUCCCGACUUACCAACCCGAUGCAAACUACGAAUACCGAAGAAUGUUAUCACGGGAGACACACGGCGGGUGCUAACGUCCGUCGUGAAGAGGGAAACAACCCAGACCGCCAGCUAAGGUCCCAAAGUCAUGGUUAAGUGGGAAACGAUGUGGGAAGGCACAGACAGCCAGGAUGUUGGCUUAGAAGCAGCCAUCAUUUAAAGAAAGCGUAAUAGCUCACUGGUCGAGUCGGCCUGCGCGGAAGAUGUAACGGGGCUAAACCAUGCACCGAAGCUGCGGCAGCGACACUAUGUGUUGUUGGGUAGGGGAGCGUUCUGUAAGCCUGCGAAGGUGUGCUGUGAGGCAUGCUGGAGGUAUCAGAAGUGCGAAUGCUGACAUAAGUAACGAUAAAGCGGGUGAAAAGCCCGCUCGCCGGAAGACCAAGGGUUCCUGUCCAACGUUAAUCGGGGCAGGGUGAGUCGACCCCUAAGGCGAGGCCGAAAGGCGUAGUCGAUGGGAAACAGGUUAAUAUUCCUGUACUUGGUGUUACUGCGAAGGGGGGACGGAGAAGGCUAUGUUAGCCGGGCGACGGUUGUCCCGGUUUAAGCAUGUAGGCUGGUUAUCCAGGCAAAUCCGGAUAAUCAAGGCUGAGGUGUGAUGACGAGGCACUACGGUGCUGAAGUAACAAAUGCCCUGCUUCCAGGAAAAGCCUCUAAGCAUCAGGUAACAUCAAAUCGUACCCCAAACCGACACAGGUGGUCAGGUAGAGAAUACCAAGGCGCUUGAGAGAACUCGGGUGAAGGAACUAGGCAAAAUGGUGCCGUAACUUCGGGAGAAGGCACGCUGGUGUGUAGGUGAAGCCCCUGCGGGUGGAGCUGAGACCAGUCGAAGAUACCAGCUGGCUGCAACUGUUUAUUAAAAACACAGCACUGUGCAAACACGAAAGUGGACGUAUACGGUGUGACGCCUGCCCGGUGCCGGAAGGUUAAUUGAUGGGGUUAUCCGUAAGGAGAAGCUCUUGAUCGAAGCCCCGGUAAACGGCGGCCGUAACUAUAACGGUCCUAAGGUAGCGAAAUUCCUUGUCGGGUAAGUUCCGACCUGCACGAAUGGCGUAAUGAUGGCCAGGCUGUCUCCACCCGAGACUCAGUGAAAUUGAACUCGCUGUGAAGAUGCAGUGUACCCGCGGCAAGACGGAAAGACCCCGUGAACCUUUACUAUAGCUUGACACUGAACAUUGAGCCUUGAUGUGUAGGAUAGGUGGGAGGCUUUGAAGCGUGGACGCCAGUCUGCGUGGAGCCAACCUUGAAAUACCACCCUUUAAUGUUUGAUGUUCUAACGUUGGCCCCUGACCGGGGUUGCGGACAGUGUCUGGUGGGUAGUUUGACUGGGGCGGUCUCCUCCCAAAGCGUAACGGAGGAGCACGAAGGUUAGCUAAUCCUGGUCGGACAUCAGGAGGUUAGUGCAAUGGCAUAAGCUAGCUUGACUGCGAGCGUGACGGCGCGAGCAGGUGCGAAAGCAGGUCAUAGUGAUCCGGUGGUUCUGAAUGGAAGGGCCAUCGCUCAACGGAUAAAAGGUACUCCGGGGAUAACAGGCUGAUACCGCCCAAGAGUUCAUAUCGACGGCGGUGUUUGGCACCUCGAUGUCGGCUCAUCACAUCCUGGGGCUGAAGUAGGUCCCAAGGGUAUGGCUGUUCGCCAUUUAAAGUGGUACGCGAGCUGGGUUUAGAACGUCGUGAGACAGUUCGGUCCCUAUCUGCCGUGGGCGCUGGAGAAUUGAGGGGGGCUGCUCCUAGUACGAGAGGACCGGAGUGGACGCAUCACUGGUGUUCGGGUUGUCAUGCCAAUGGCACUGCCCGGUAGCUAAAUGCGGAAGAGAUAAGUGCUGAAAGCAUCUAAGCACGAAACUUGCCCCGAGAUGAGUUCUCCCUGAGACUUUAAGUCUCCUGAAGGAACGUUGAAGACGACGACGUUGAUAGGCCGGGUGUGUAAGCGCAGCGAUGCGUUGAGCUAACCGGUACUAAUGAACCGUGAGGCUUAACCUU